GGCUCAGAUUGAACGCUGGCGGCAGGCCUAACACAUGCAAGUCGAGCGGUAGAGAGGUGCUUGCAUCUCUUGAGAGCGGGCGGACGGGUGAGUAAUGCCUAGGAAUCUGCCUAGUGGUGGGGGAUAACGUUCGGAAACGGACGCUAAUACCGCAUACGUCCUACGGGAGAAAGCGGGGGGAUCUUCGGACCUCGCGCCAUUAGAUGAGCCUAGGUCGGAUUAGCUAGUUGGUGAGGUAAUGGCUCACCAAGGCGACGAUCCGUAACUGGUCUGAGAGGAUGAUCAGUCACACUGGAACUGAGACACGGUCCAGACUCCUACGGGAGGCAGCAGUGGGGAAUAUUGGACAAUGGGCGAAAGCCUGAUCCAGCCAUGCCGCGUGUGUGAAGAAGGUCUUCGGAUUGUAAAGCACUUUAAGUUGGGAGGAAGGGUAGUAACCUAAUACGUUGCUACUUUGACGUUACCGACAGAAUAAGCACCGGCUAACUUCGUG
rnacentral:rRNA from 1 species